rnacentral:lncRNA from 1 species
UGUCCUUUUUGAAUCAGUAGAUGAACUUCUCGCCAAAAAAAAAUUCAGUAGAUGAACUGCUGAGGGGGAUUUGAUGGGUGCUUUCAGAUAUUUAAGAUUUAGUUUUUGUUCAGAUUUUUUUAUAGUUUCCUGUGGUAAUAUCCAGGCAUAUUUAAUAUAUAUACGCAAGUUUAAGUGCAUGCUGUUGGGGUACGUUGCAGAAAACAAAAAAUUUCCUACGAUUUCACCAAGAUCCAUCUAUGAGUUCAUCUAGCAACGAGUGGUUGGAUGCAUCUACGUACCUUGUAGAUCGCGAGCAGAAGCGUUCAAAGAACGGGGAUGAGGGAGUCGUACUCGACGUGAUCCAAAUCACCGGAGAUCCUAGCGCCGAACGGACGGCACCUCCGCGUUCAACACACGUACGGUCAGCGCAACGUCUCCUCCUUCUUGAUCCAGCAAGGGGGAAGGAGAGGUUGAGGAAGAUGGCUCCAGCAGCAGCACGACGGCGUGGUGGUGAUGGAGCUGCAGUACUCCGGCAGGGCUUCGCCAAGCUCUAUGGAGAAGGAGGAGGUGUUGGAGAGGGAGAGGGAGGCACCAAUGGCGUAGGUUAGAGGCCCUCCCUUCCCCCCACUAUAUAUAGGGGGCCUAGGGGGGCGUCGGCCCUAGGAGAUGCAAUCUCCUAGGGGGGCGGCGGCCAAGGGGUGGGGGGGCUUGCCCCCCAAGCAAGGGGGCGCCCCCUUUAGGGUUUCCCCCACCCUAGGCGCAUGGGCCCUAGGGGAAGUGGCGCCCCAGCCCACUUUGGGCUGGAUCCCUUCCCACUUCAGCCCAUGGGGUCCUCCGGGAUAGGUGGCCCCACCCGGUGGACCCCCGGGACCCUUUCGGUGGUCCCGGUACAAUAUCGAUGACCCUGAAACUUGCCCUGAUAGCCGAAAUAGCACUUCCUAUAUAUAAUUCUUUACCUCCGGACCAUUCCGGAACUCCUCGUGACGUCCGGGAUCUCAUCCGGGACUCCGAACAACAUUCGGGUUACUGCAUAUACAUAUCCCUACAACCCUAGCGUCACCGAACCUUAAGUGUGUAGACCCUACGAGUUCGGGAGACAUGUAGACAUGACCGAGAUCGGUCUCCGGUCAAUAACCAACAGCGGGAUCUGGAUACCCAUGUUGGCUCCCACAUACUCCUCGAUGAUCUCAUCGGAUGAACGACGAUGUCGAGGAUUCACGCAAACCCCGUAUACAAUUCCCUUUGUCAAUCGGUAUGUUACUUGCCCGAGAUUCGAUCGUCGGUAUCCCAACACCUCGUUCAAUCUCGUUACCGGCAAGUCACUUUACUCGUACCGUAAUGCAUGAUCCCGUGAUCAGACACUUGGUCACUUUGAGCUCAUUAUGAUGAUGCAUUACCGAGUGGGCCCAUAGAUACCUCUCCGUCAUAAGGAGUGACAAAUCCCAGUCUUGAUCCGUGUCAACCCAACAGACACUUUCGGAGAUACCCGUAGUAUACCUUUAUAGUCACCCAGUUAUGUUGUGACGUUUGGUACACCCAAAGCACUCCUACGGUAUCCGGGAGUUACACGAUCUCAUGGUCUAAGGAAAGGAUACUUAACAUUGGAAAAACUCUAGCAAACGAACUAUACGAUCUUAUGAUAUGUUUAGGAUUGGGUCUUGUCCAUCACAUCAUUCUUCUAAUGAUGUGAUCUCGUUAUCAAUGACAUCCAAUGUCCAUAGUCAGGAAAACAUGACUAUCUGUUGAUCAACGAGCUAGUCAACUAGAGGCUUACUAGGGACAUGUUGGUGUCUAUUAUUCACACAUGUAUUACGAUUUCCGGAUAACACAAUUAUAGCGUGAAUAAAGACAAUUAUCAUGAACAAGGAAAUAUAAUAAUAAUGCUUUUAUUAUUGCCUCUAGGGCAUAUUUCCAACACAUGCCUACUGUUUUUCCUGCAGUACCAAAAUUAUUCGAGCACACGAUAGCUAGAAACUUAGUAGAAAUGGUGUCACUCAAAAGUUUCGCUACCAAAUUUAUGUAACAUAGAAACCAAGUCAUGUGCCAGAACCAUGACAUGAUUUUGAUCUUAUGAGUUUCAACUAUAGCCUACCCCAACUUGUUUGGGACUGAAAGGCUUUGUUGUCAUUGUUGUUGUAUUAUUUGUAUGCAUGUGUAGACUUUAAAAAAUAUUUAUUUGGACACCUAAAUGUUUUCCUAAAUAAAAUUAGCUAUUUUGUUUUUAUUUCCAGCAACACUCUGUCCUGUUUUGAUAAUUCAUGCCUACGGUUUUUCCUUAAUUCCAGCAUGUUGGUACCUGCCUGAACAGCAAUGCCGAAGCCCAAGCUCUAAUUAUUGACCUUAUGGUACGGUUAUUACCCUAAACUUUUAAUAAGUUACAAUGAUUAUCUAUAUUUUUUUCUUGAAAUAAUUAUGUAUCCACUUCUUUUGGUAGAACACCUAGCGGAUUACUACUUGACUAGUGAUGUUUCAAGCUGACACUUGACAGCAUCAUUGUGAAUUUGCGGUCUUUAACACAACAUAAUUGUAUUUGUAAGUUGUAACACCACGUCAUUUGUAACAUAGGAGAGAUUUAAGAUACUAGGAGAGUAAGAGUUUGCAAUUUCUUUGGUAAGCCCUUCUCAGUUGUACAUGAGCACCUAUCAUGCAUAGCCAUCACUGAUGGGGUAACGUGACAGUUAGGUGGUGGUUAGGGGGAAUCUGCCAUUCACAAACAAGAUCAAAUUUGAGCAUAUUAGUGAAAUAAAUUUAAGCAAAAGCUACAGACGCUUACGGCUUCCCUUCUGCAACUCAUUUUCAGGGUCAUAUCAGGCGAAUAGAGUCCGUAGAUAUCCAUGAGUUUCACUGGUAGAACAGAAGUUAUCUGAUCCUGUAAGUUUGCUUGGGAAGAACGCCCAUAUAUUUAUUAUUGUGGUGCUAGAAUGUUGUUUUCCUUCAAAAAAAAAGAACAUUGUUUCCAAGGUAUUACCAUCUUUACCGCGACAUGUAUUUAUAGACUUCUGGGACAUUCUUUUUCCUUUCAGGGAUAUACUGAUGCCAGUGGGUUGAGGAGAUACUAGAUCGCCUCAGGAGUAUCACAUAUAUUUGUGCAAGUGCAAGGGGAUGCAAAUUCUUUGCGAUUUCCAUGGUGCGUCCUGGGAAAUGCAACGUGUAGAAGUAAAUAGUAUUUUUGAAUUUAUUAUGGAAGACUUUGUAGCUUGGUUUUGGCCUUGUGUGAUUCCAGUAUCACAGAAAUAAAUGCAAAAAAGUUCACAAAAGACAGUUACAGUUAAGAUAGCUGGUUCUCGCCUCAUCUCUACAG